AGAGUUUGAUCCUGGCUCAGAAUGAACGCUGGCGGCGUGCUUAACACAUGCAAGUCGAACGAUGAAGCCCAGCUUGCUGGGUGGAUUAGUGGCGCACGGGUGAGUAAUAUAUAGAUAACGUGCCUCUUAGUCCGGGAUAGCCAUUGGAAACGAUGAUUAAUACCGGAUACUCCUUCUAACUCUAAUGUUAGUCGGGAAAGUUUUUCGCUAAGAGAUCGGUCUAUAUCCCAUCAGCUUGUUGGUAGUGUAAGAGACUACCAAGGCUAUGACGGGUAGCGGGUUUGAGAGGAUGAUCCGCCACACUGGUACUGAGACACGGACCAGACUCCUACGGGAGGCAGCAGUGAGGAAUAUUGCACAAUGGAGGAAACUCUGAUGCAGCAACGCCGCGUGGAGGAUGACGCAUUUCGGUGUGUAAACUCCUUUUAUAUGUCAAGAAAAUGACGGUAGCAUAUGAAUAAGCACCGGCUAACUCCGUGCCAGCAGCCGCGGUAAUACGGAGGGUGCAAGCGUUAUUCGGAAUCACUGGGCGUAAAGGACGCGUAGGCGGGUUGGAAAGUCAGAUGUGAAAUCCUACAGCUUAACUGUAGAACUGCAUUUGAAACUUCUAAUCUAGAGUAUGGGAGGGGGAGAUGGAAUUAGUGGUGUAGGGGUAAAAUCCGUAGAUAUCACUAGGAAUACCGAAA
rnacentral:rRNA from 1 species